UACGAGGGGGGCAAAUGUUGUUCGGAAUCACUGGGCGUAAAGGGAGCGUAGGCGGGUUUCUAAGUCAGGUGUUUAAUCCCGGGGCCCAACCCCGGACAGGCACUUGAAACUGGGAAUCUUGAAUAGUGGAGAGGUCAGUGGAAUUGGGGGUGUAGCGGUGAAAUGCGUAGAUAUCUGGAGGAACACCGGUGGCGAAGGCGGCAUCCUGGACCGAGAUUGACGCUGAUGCGCGAAAGCCAGGGGAGCAAACGGG
rnacentral:rRNA from 1 species